AGUGAACGCUGGCGGUAGGCCUAACACAUGCAAGUCGAACGGCAGCACAGUAAGAGCUUGCUCUUACGGGUGGCGAGUGGCGGACGGGUGAGGAAUACAUCGGAAUCUACUUUUUCGUGGGGGAUAACGUAGGGAAACUUACGCUAAUACCGCAUACGACCUACGGGUGAAAGCAGGGGAUCUUCGGACCUUGCGCGAUUGAAUGAGUCGAUGUCGGAUUAGCUAGUUGGCGGGGUAAAGGCCCACCAAGGCGACGAUCCGUAGCUGGUCUGAGAGGAUGAUCAGCCACACUGGAACUGAGACACGGUCCAGAUUCCUACGGGAGGCAGCAGUGGGGAAUAUUGGACAAUGGGCGCAAGCCUGAUCCAGCCAUACCGCGUGGGUGAAGAAGGCCUUCGGGUUGUAAAGCCCUUUUGUUGGGAAAGAAAAGCAGCAGGUUAAUACCCCGCUGUUCUGACGGUACCCAAAGAAUAAGCACCGGCUAACUUCGUG
rnacentral:rRNA from 1 species